GAUGAACGCAGGCGGCGUGCUUAACACAUGCCAGUCGAACGAUGAAGCCCAGCUUGCUGGGUGGAUUAGUGGCGAACGGGUGAGUAACACGUGAGUAACCUGCCCUUAACUCUGGGAUAAGCCUGGGAAACUGGGUCUAAUACCGGAUAGGAGCGUCCACCGCAUGGUGGGUGUUGGAAAGAUUUAUCGGUUUUGGAUGGACUCGCGGCCUAUCAGCUUGUUGGUGAGGUAAUGGCUCACCAAGGCGACGACGGGUAGCCGGCCUGAGAGGGUGACCGGCCACACUGGGACUGAGACACGGCCCAGACUCCUACGGGAGGCAGCAGUGGGGAAUAUUGCACAAUGGGCGCAAGCCUGAUGCAGCGACGCCGCGUGAGGGAUGACGGCCUUCGGGUUGUAAACCUCUUUCAGUAGGGAAGAAGCGAAAGUGACGGUACCUGCAGAAGAAGCACCGGCUAACUACGUG
rnacentral:rRNA from 1 species